rnacentral:rRNA from 1 species
CCUACGGGUGGCUGCAGUGGGGAAUAUUGGACAAUGGGCGAAAGCCUGAUCCAGCCAUGCCGCGUGUGUGAAGAAGGCCUUCGGGUUGUAAAGCACUUUCAGUGGGGAAGAAAGCCUUGGGGCUAAUACCCUCGAGGAAGGACAUCACCCACAGAAGAAGCACCGGCUAACUCAGUGCCAGCAGCCGCGGUAAUACGGAGGGUGCGAGCGUUAAUCGGAAUUACUGGGCGUAAAGCGCGCGUAGGCGGUCUGAUAAGCCGGUUGUGAAAGCCCCGGGCUCAACCUGGGAACGGCAUCCGGAACUGUCAGGCUAGAGUGCAGGAGAGGAAGGUAGAAUUCCCGGUGUAGCGGUGAAAUGCGUAGAGAUCGGGAGGAAUACCAGUGGCGAAGGCGGCCUUCUGGACUGACACUGACGCUGAGGUGCGAAAGCGUGGGUAGCAAACAGGAUUAGAUACCCCAGUAGUC